rnacentral:lncRNA from 1 species
AGAAUAACUACAAAACAAAAUUUGAAGAGGAGUCCAAGGCAUUUUCUGGUUCCAUACUUUUUUCAUUCUCCUGUUGGAUACCAUUUCUCCUGUCUGAUCCAAUGCUGAGCUCAGUGGUAAUGAAGUGCCACAUUGUGAAAGGGGGAGCCUAGAACGGGGCUGCCAGAAAGACAGUCUGUAAUUGAAAGUUCUUUCAAGAGAAGGACUUCUAUCAGGGCUGCUGAGGGAAUAGGAGCUCCACCUGCUGACUUUUUUAUGUUUGCUGACUCUGAAAGAAUGCAAAACAUGAAGAAAUUGAAUGGUGUUAUUUCUUUUGUAAUUUCUCAGUGGAAAUAUUGUUUUCAAAAUUAUUGAUAAGAUGUACCAGUCUAACCAGGGCUUUUAAGAAGAAAAUGCAAUCUAUAGCUUGUUUUAAGAGUGGGGAUUAUGUUGGCUUCCCUGGGCCAGUCUAAAUAAUUACUUUAAUCUGGAACAACAUAUAAAUUCAUAAAUUGUUGCCACCACGGCUCUUAGGGAAUCCUCGACUUUUCAAACAUUGCCUCUCUCAGCCAUAAAUUUACACUGCGCCACUCGCCCAUGUGUGUUUUGUUUUAAGAAGCUGUAGUCUCUUGUUACAUGUAGUUUGGAAGAAAUGCUAGAUGUUUUUGAUCUAAAGAAGAAAGAUCAAGUCCUAGUCAAACUUUAGUAUUUUAAAGGGCAUAGACAUUAUUUGAGUAUAUGUCGUCUGC